CGCAGAGGAGUCUUCGUUGGUUCCUGUCUCAGGACAGGCGAAGAGGGAAUGCGAUAGGCGCCGGGACCAUCCCCGGUCAAGAGCCGAAGCGCAGCCGCCCCCGCGACCGUGACCGGAGAGGUCGCCCGACCACUGGCCCUGCAUGGGCCGGGAAGGUGGGCAGACCGCCGGGGCCCCAGGCCCCGACAUCCGCAAGCCGGGAGACCUGCCAACACGACGUAAUGCAA
rnacentral:ncRNA from 2 species